rnacentral:rRNA from 1 species
GAAGAACGCUGGCGGCGUGCCUAAUACAUGCAAGUCGAGCGAACAGAUAAGGAGCUUGCUCCUUUGACGUUAGCGGCGGACGGGUGAGUAACACGUGGAUAACCUACCUAUAAGACUGGGAUAACUUCGGGAAACCGGAGCUAAUACCGGAUAACAUAUUGAACCGCAUGGUUCAAUAGUGAAAGGCGGCUUUGCUGUCACUUAUAGAUGGAUCCGCGCCGUAUUAGCUAGUUGGUAAGGUAACGGCUUACCAAGGCAACGAUACGUAGCCGACCUGAGAGGGUGAUCGGCCACACUGGAACUGAGACACGGUCCAGACUCCUACGGGAGGCAGCAGUAGGGAAUCUUCCGCAAUGGGCGAAAGCCUGACGGAGCAACGCCGCGUGAGUGAUGAAGGUCUUCGGAUCGUAAAACUCUGUUAUCAGGGAAGAACAAAUGUGUAAGUAACUGUGCACAUCUUGACGGUACCUGAUCAGAAAGCCACGGCUAACUACGUG